GUGAAACGCGGCAACCUCCACCCGGAGCAACACCAAAUAGGCAAGCGAUGACGUGACCCGCCGAGCUUGCGGGUAGGUGGCUUGAGCCCCGGAGCAAUCCGGGGCCUAGAGGAAUGGCUGUCAGGGGCCGCAAGGCUCCCCACAGAACCCGGCUUACCGGCCAGCUUCUUUC
rnacentral:RNase_P_RNA from 1 species